rnacentral:rRNA from 1 species
AUUGAACGCUGGCGGCAGGCCUAACACAUGCAAGUCGAACGAGUGGCGGACGGGUGAGUAAUGUCUGGGAAACUGCCUGAUGGAGGGGGAUAACUACUGGAAACGGUAGCUAAUACCGCAUACCAUCAGAUGUGCCCAGAUUGGAUUAGCUUGUUGGUGGGGUAACGGCUCACCAAGGCGACGAUCCCUAGCUGGUCUGAGAGGAUGAACGGCCACACUGGAACUGAGACACGGCCCAGACUCCUACGUGAGGCAGCAGUUGGGAAUAUUGCACAAUGGGCGCAAGCCUGAUACAGCCAUGCCGCGUGUAUGAAGAAGGCCUUCGGGUUGUAAAGUACUUUCAGCGGGGAGGCGUUACCCACAGAAGAAGCACCGGCUAACUCCGUGCCAGCAGCCGCGGUAAUUC